AGCAGCCGCGGUAAUUCCAGCUCCAAUAGCGUAUAUUAAAGUUGUUGCAGUUAAAAAGCUCGUAGUUGAAUUUCGGGAUCAAUCUGUUGGUCGUGCCUUUGGUACGUACUAGCUUAUUGAUUUCUCCCUUCUGACGAACCAUGAUGUCAUUAAUUUGGUGUCACGGGAAAUCAGGACUGUUACUUUGAAAAAAUUAGAGUGUUUAAAGCAGGCUCACGCUUGAAUACAUUAGCAUGGAAUAAUGAAAUAGGACGUUUUGAUUCUAUUUUGUUGGUUUCUAGGAUCGACGUAAUGAUUAAUAGGGAUAGUUGGGGGCAUUAGUAUUCAAUUGUCAGAGGUGAAAUUCUUGGAUUUAUUGAAGACUAACUACUGCGAAAGCAUUUGCCAAGGAUGUUUUCAUUAAUCAAGAACGAAAGUUAGGGGAUCGAAGACGAUCAGAUACCGUCGUAGUCUUAACCAUAAACUAUGCCGACUAGGGAUCGGAUGAUGUUAAUUUUUAAUGACUCAUUCGGCGCCUUAA
rnacentral:rRNA from 1 species